CCAAAACAUAGUAACAGAACGCCAUAUCAUAUUUUAACAAUAAGAUACCAAAAUCAACACUAAUCCAACACAGAAACAUAAGACCUUGCAGACUAAGCCAAAUUAGGCACUGGUGAACUUCGUGACGGCCUUUGUGCCCUCGGAGACGGCGUGCUUGGCGAGCUCGCCGGGGAGGACAAGGCGGACGGAGGUCUGGAUCUCACGGGAGGUGAUAGUCGG
rnacentral:misc_RNA from 1 species